ACUAUGCCCUUUCAGCCUUGGUUGCUCCUAGGGACUAAGGUGUGGCACUAAGCAUGUGACAUUAGGAACUCAGUGACAUCAUAAUCACUUAGCUCAGAGGCAUUGUAUUGUUACUUCGUACAUCAAGAGCAAGGCACGUUGAGGCAAGAUUCCGUGCUAUAGAAAACUUGAAUAUUUUAAAUGACAAACUUCUUCGAAAUGCCAGCACUCAAUUUCAAUAGCUCAAGAUAGAGAACAAAGCAGGUAUCUGCUCAGUUUUCCAAGGGAUGAUACUAUGCAACCAGAAAUUACUUGGACUGAGAAAAGGCAACAACUCUGUGUCAACCUAAAUAGGAAAUCACUACAUUUCCUUUAUUCUAUCUAAAACUCAUAACCAUCUGAAACAUACAUAUAAUGAACUGAGAAAGAUUAAUCUUUCGCAAUGAUAUGGAUAAUCUGUGUUAAGGAAACAGUAGCAGACAAGAAACUUGCCUGAAAUCCACAUGCUGGAAGAGAUGUCUCCUGAACACAGAGUUUCUGACUCUUCCCAUGAGAGCUCACCAGGCAGACCGUUCUCUAUGUUUAGACCCAUCAAUAAAAAGCAGUCCCAUAA